CAGUAGCCGCGGUAAGACAGAGGAUGCAAGCGUUAUCCGGAAUGAUUGGGCGUAAAGCGUCUGUAGGUGGCUUUUCAAGUCCGCCGUCAAAUCCCAGGGCUCAACCCUGGACAGGCGGUGGAAACUACCAAGCUGGAGUAUGGUAGGGGCAGAGGGAAUUUCCGGUGGAGCGGUGAAAUGCGUUGAGAUCGGAAAGAACACCAACAGCGAAAUCACUCUGCUAGGCCGACACUGACACUAAGAGACGAAAUCUAGGGGAGCAAAUGGGAUUAGAUACCCGCGUAGUCCCUGUCUCUUAUAA
rnacentral:rRNA from 1 species